GCUGGGACGGGUUUUGGGGGGGUGUCCCCAAUUCUGACUGGGAGUGGAGGAACCCCCUUCAGAGCUCUCUUGUGGGGGUCCCCCCUCCCCAGGGCACUCCCCAGUCCCUGAGCCAGCCGAGAGGAAGGAGGCCAGCGAUGCGACUGGGGCGGCUCCUUUCUCCUGCACCCCAAAUGUAAGGGAUGCACCCCAAAAUUUGCUCCUUUCAAAAUAGGGGACCAGGAUCUCAGGGGAGAGUAGCUGAGUCCUCAGGGGGAAUGCUGACAAAACUAGCACUACAGUAGGAAAGAUGCUGAGCUGGGAGUGCUGAGGAAGAUGGAAUAAUGGAGAGGAUCUGUGUCUGUGACUGAGUCCAAGCGUCUGCGCCCGGGGUCACGUACCCCGCGGGGGAAGAGUCGGCCACUGGAUGCAACUGCAUCGUCAGCUCUCCGAGCUUCGUGAAGGCGGCGCCGGCCGCAGAGAAGAUCUCUCCGACCUGGGGGUGGGACAGCAUUACUGGGGGCCGGCGCACAGACCCGGCGCGGUCCCGCCCGGGGACCCUAGCCCCACCCCAGAUCAGCUCCCGCUCGCCCGCCCCCAGCCCGGCGCCAAGGAGUCGGGAACCAAGCGGGGGGCCCGCCCUCCUGUGGCCGCCAGGGAGCGCUGUCCGCGAGGGAGAUCGAACCUUUGUGGACGCUGACGUCAUGGCCCCGCGCACCUCCUCACGGAGACGCUCUGCCGCCGCCACCACGCGAGCUGGGACCACGGAGAGCCGGGCGACCGAGCCGCUCCGGCCCGGGAGCAGGAAGUCCCACCCUCCCCGCAGCUGAUUGGCUGAAACCCUGCCGCUCUCCGCCCGACCAACCGCCGUCGCUUAGGCGGUCCGGGCGCUGGGAUAAGGAGUGGUGGAAGACGUCGCCUCACUUCCGGCCGGCUUCACUCCACUUCCUUGGAACGGUCUGGACUCUGCAGCUAAGAGGCCGACCUCCAGCCUUGGCCCGGCCCGCCCUGUCACUCAAGCAGAGACGCGAGGCUUAAGAGAGCAGUUUCUCUUUAUUGUGAUACGCGUCAAGACAAGGGGCUGGACGCCAGAGAUUGGAGAACUGGGGAUACAGACUCUCACCAGGGGGACCCAGUUUCCCAGAGGACACCAGAAUGGGGUGGGGAGUUUUUAAAUAGAGGGGUCUGGAGAGGGGAAACGACCGAGCUCUAGCGCACCAUGUAUUCCUUGCGCUUGUUAAGCCGAACUUGGCAGAAAGAGAAGCCUCCAAGGAGGAGGUAAAGGCCCGCGGCGAUGAAACAGUUGUAGCUGACUUGCUCGUAAAGGUUGUAAAUGUUCUGAGGGCCAUUCCUGAGGAUGGGGAUUAAGCAGAGAAGUGUCAGCCAUUAAGAACAUCCAACAGUUAUUGGGCAUUUAGUAUGCGUCAGGCACCAUCCUAAGCGCUUUUAUGUAUAUUAUCUUAUUCAAUCUUCUGGACUGUAGGAUUUAUUCCAUUAUAAUACCCCCUUUGCAGAGAUGAACUGAGGCACAGAAAGGUGAAAUUACUUAAGAAGCCACAUCUAAAACCGGCGGGUUUUGGUAUAGACGCCAAGGCCUGAUUUCCAAGAUCACUCCUAAAUGCAUUCCAUUUUUCUUUUUUGGUGCUAGGGAUUGAACCCAGGACCUUGCAUGUAAAGCGCGUUGUACCACUGAGCUACAGUCCUCAGCUUCUAACCACAUUCAAAAUAGAGCACUCUCCUUUACCAGUACUCUAAAUGUCAGGGUCCUAAACAUCCAGCCUCCGGCAAUAUUCCGCUUAUAAUUCUGACCAUAGA